rnacentral:rRNA from 1 species
CAAGGAAUUUUCCGCAAUGGGCGCAAGCCUGACGGAGCAACGCCGCGUGGGGGAGGACACCUUUCGGGGCGUAAACCCCUUUUCUCGGGGAGGACAACCGACAGUACCCGAGGAAGAAGGCCCGGCUAACUACGUGCCAGCAGCCGCGGUAAUACGUAGGGGCCGAGCGUUGUCCGGAAUUACUGGGCGUAAAGCGCGCGCAGGCGGCGUGCUAAGCCUGACGUGAAAGCCCCCGGCUCAACCGGGGAGGGUCGUCGGGGACUGGCGCGCUUGAGGGCGGUAGGGGCCGGUGGAAUUCCCGGUGUAGUGGUGAAAUGCGUAGAGAUCGGGAGGAACACCAGUGGCGAAGGCGGCCGGCUGGGCCGACCCUGACGCUGAGGCGCGAAGGCGUGGGGAGCGAACGGGAUUAGAUACCCCGGUAGUCCACGCAGUAAACGAUGCAGACUAGGCGUGGGGGACUUGACCCCCUCCGUCGCCGCGACGACCGACGACGAACGUACGUCGU